AUUGAACGCUGGCGGCAUGCCUUACACAUGCAAGUCGAACGGCAGCGACGGGAGCAAUCCUGGUGGCGAGUGGCGAACGGGUGAGUAAUAUAUCGGAACGUGCCUAGUGAGUGGGGGAUAGCCCGGCGAAAGCCGGAUUAAUACCGCAUGCGACCUACGGGUGAAAGCGAGGGGAUCGCAAGACCUUGCGUCAUUGGGAGCGGCCGAUAUCAGAUUAGCGUGUUGGUGGGGUAAAAGCCUACCAAGGCGACGAUCUGUAGCUGGUCUGAGAGGACGACCAGCCACACUGGGACUGAG
rnacentral:rRNA from 1 species